UACGUAGGGCGCAAGCGUUGUCCGGAAUUAUUGGGCGUAAAGAGCGUGUAGGCGGCCAGAUAAGUCCGCUGUGAAAACUCGAGGCUCAACUUCGAGCUGUCGGCGGAAACUAUCUGGCUAGAGUCCGGAAGAGGAGAGUGGAAUUCCUGGUGUAGCGGUGAAAUGCGCAGAUAUCAGGAAGAACACCCGUGGCGAAGGCGGCUCUCUGGGACGGUACUGACGCUGAGACGCGAAAGCGUGGGGAGCGAACAGG
rnacentral:rRNA from 1 species